AGAUCAUGUUGAGGGCAACUUCUAAGCAAGCCCUUGUAUCUCUCCCAUGCUUCAUACAAUGAUUAUUCAACAUCUUGUUGAAAGUUAACAGUCUUUUUUUAAGUUU